UACGGAGGGGGCUAGCGUUGUUCGGAAUUACUGGGCGUAAAGCGCACGUAGGCGGCUUUGCAAGUCAGAGGUGAAAGCCCGGGGCUCAACCCCGGAAUUGCCUUUGAGACUGCAUCGCUAGAAUUGUGGAGAGGUAAGUGGAAUUCCGAGUGUAGAGGUGAAAUUCGUAGAUAUUCGGAAGAACACCAGUGGCGAAGGCGACCCGCUGGACAUGUAUUGACGCUGAGGUGCGAAAGCGUGGGGAGCAAACAGG
rnacentral:rRNA from 1 species